rnacentral:rRNA from 1 species
AUUGAACGCUGGCGGCAGGCCUAACACAUGCAAGUCGAGCGAGCGGCGGACGGGUGAGCAAUGUAUGGGGACUGCCCGAUAGAGGGGGCUAACUACUGGAAACGGUGGCUAAUACCGCAUACUAUCGGAUAACCCAUAUGGGAUUAGCUAGUAGGUGGGGUAAAGGCUCACCUAGGCGACGAUCUCUAGCUGGUCUGAGAGGAUGAUCAGCCACACUGGGACUGAGACGCGGCCCAGACUCGUACGGAGGCAGCAGUGGGGAAUAUUGCGCAAUGGGAGCAAGCCUGAUGCAGCCAUGCCGCGUGUAUGAAGAAGGCCUUAGGGUUGUAAAGUACUUUCGGCGGGGAGGCGUUACCCGCAGAGGAAGCCCCGGCUAACUCCGUGCCAGCAGCCGCGGUAAUAC